rnacentral:lncRNA from 1 species
ACACUUUUUUUUCCCUUACAACAGGAAACUCAUCAUUUCAUUAGCUAAUAAAGUAUCAAUACAAGUAGGUGGCAAAUCAAAGAUAUAGCGACGACUAUGAAACAACCACUCUAGCAAGCUUAUGAGCAACCGAGUUCGCUUGUCAUUACAAUUAAAGAGCUAAAUUCAGAGAUGUCAUUGACUCGUCGAUGGAUGUCAUCAACAACACUUUUGGAGUCAGUUUCAAAAAUGACAUUUGUUAGGCCUAUGCGUUCCACUUCCUUCAUAGCAUCAAGUAAAGCCAUACCUCUCCUUCAAUGAUAGAGCAAUUACCGUACUUCCAAGAGGUUCCUGCCACUACAAAACGACCAUCAUGAUCACGAAUACACCACCCCAUGCUUGUCUUUCCGUGCACAUUGUGAAAUCCCGCAUCUACGUUACAUUUAAACCAACAAAAGCUUGGUUUAUGCCACUGUAUUUGCUGCUGUACCAUGACAGUUUGUGUAGCUUGGUUUCUCAUAUUUUGAGCAGUUCUCCAUUCUUCCCACAAGUGCAGUGCCUUGUUACCAAGUUGUUGUCCUAUUUCCUUCUCUCCAUUCCAUGUACAAUUAUUUCUAUUAUUCCAAAUAAAUAACCCACAUCAUCAUACCAAUUUUUCCGGCCAUCUCUUUCUCC